rnacentral:rRNA from 2 species
CGUAGGUGAACCUGCGGAAGGAUCAUUACCGA